rnacentral:rRNA from 1 species
AACGAACGCUGGCGGCAGGCUUAACACAUGCAAGUCGAGCGCCCCGCAAGGGGAGCGGCAGACGGGUGAGUAACGCGUGGGAAUCUACCCAUCUCUACGGAAUAACGCAUGGAAACGUGUGCUAAUACCGUAUACGUCCUUCGGGAGAAAGAUUUAUCGGAGAUGGAUGAGCCCGCGUUGGAUUAGCUAGUUGGUGGGGUACAGGCCUACCAAGGCGACGAUCCAUAGCUGCUCUGAGCGGAUGAUCAGCCACACUGGGACGGAGACACGGCCCAGAAUCCUACGGGGGGCAGCAGGGGUGAAGAUUUGACAAUGGGCGCAAGCCUGAUCCAGCCAUGCCGCGAGAGUGAUGAAGGCCCUAGUGUUGUAAAGCUCUUUCACCGGUGAAGAUAAUGACGGUAACCGGAGAAGAAGCCCCGGCUAACUUCGUGCCAGCCGCCGCGGUAAUAC